rnacentral:rRNA from 1 species
GACGAACGCUGGCGGCGUGCUUAACACAUGCAAGUCGAACGAUGAAGCCGGAGCUUGCUCUGGUGAAUUAGUGGCGAACGGGUGAGUAACACGUGAGUAACCUGCCCUUGACUCUGGGAUAACUGCUAGAAAUGGUAGCUACUACCGGAUACGACCCUCGGAGGCAUCUCCAGGGGGUGGAAAGAAUUUCGGUCAAGGAUGGACUCGCGGCCUAUCAGCUAGGUGGUGAGGUAACGGCUCACCAAGGCGACGACGGGUAGCCGGCCUGAGAGGGUGACCGGCCACACUGGGACUGAGACACGGCCCAGACUCCUACGGGAGGCAGCAGUGGGGAAUAUUGCACAAUGGGCGCAAGCCUGAUGCAGCAACGCCGCGUGAGGGAUGACGGCCUUCGGGUUGUAAACCUCUUUUAGUAGGGAAGAAGCGAAAGUGACGGUACCUGCAGAAAAAGCGCCGGCUAACUACGUGCCAGCCGCCGCGGUAA